UACGAAGGGUGCAAACGUUUGCUCGGAAUUAUUGGGCGUAAAGCGCACGUAGGCGGCUUUGCAAGUCGGAUGUGAAAUCCCUCGGCUUAACCAAGGAAGUGCAUCCGAAACUGCAGAGCUUGAGUACUUAAGAGGAUCGCGGAAUUCCCGGUGUAGAGGUGAAAUUCGUAGAUAUCGGGAGGAACACCAGUGGCGAAGGCGGCGAUCUGGGAAGAUACUGACGCUGAGGUGCGAAAAGCGUGGGGAGCAAACAGG
rnacentral:rRNA from 1 species